UGGGGAAUUUUGGACAAUGGGCGAAAGCCUGAUCCAGCAAUGCCGCGUGUGUGAAGAAGGCCUUCGGGUUGUAAAGCACUUUUGUCCGGAAAGAAAUCCUUGGCUCUAAUACAGUCGGGGGAUGACGGUACCGGAAGAAUAAGCACCGGCUAACUACGUGCCAGCAGCCGCGGUAAUACGUAGGGUGCAAGCGUUAAUCGGAAUUACUGGGCGUAAAGCGUGCGCAGGCGGUUUGCUAAGACCGAUGUGAAAUCCCCGGGCUCAACCUGGGAACUGCAUUGGUGACUGGCAGGCUAGAGUAUGGCAGAGGGGGGUAGAAUUCCACGUGUAGCAGUGAAAUGCGUAGAGAUGUGGAGGAAUACCGAUGGCGAAGGCAGCCCCCUGGGCCAAAUACUGACGCUCAUGCACGAAAAGCGUGGGGAGCAAAACAGGAUUAGAUACCCUGGUAGUCCACGCCCUAAACGAUGUCAACUAGUUGUUGGGGAUUCAUUUCCUUAGUAACGUAGCUAACGCGUGAAGUUGACCGCCUGGGGAGUACGGUCGCAAGAUUAAAACUCAAAUGAAUUGACGGGGUCAUAGCUGUUU
rnacentral:rRNA from 1 species